UCACAAGUUACGGGGAUGAUUUAUUUCAAAUUUAACUUAAAUAUAUUCAUCUUUACCAUCAAAGUACUGUAUUCCACCCCUCUCUGCUCCUGUCCCAAGCCAGGAAUCCGCCGUUGCCUCGGGGCCUUCCCUAUGCGUCAGCGAUAUCUAUCCCAACUCCUGAUCCCCAUCUCUACAAAACCUCCUAGCACGCAUCCAGAAACAGCACGGGCCUGAAGAAAAACCGCAGAGGAGCUGGUGAACAUAGGACGCGUAACUCGUAAAAUGCGACGUCUGUCAUCGAGUCUGGAAGGGCCAAUGGGAUAUCACACUUCACAAGGCGAAACAAGGAUGUCAGGAAGCUUCCAUACGGGUUCGCUCCACAACUUCGGACCCAAGACGAACGUCGAUCCCCAGAGAGGCUCACACGGAGGAACUGGUGCUCAGUUGAGAAGUAGUGGCUGCUGGGAUAUGGGUCUAGAGAACAACAAACAUCCAAUUCGCUGAGUCAAUCAGGCCCUCUCGACCCCGUUCCCACACAACAGCGGCUACGCCGUACCUUCCAGAAGCCGCAUCCUCUGCUCGCCGGCCCCAGCGUCCUACACCAGCUCCCGUGACUCCCGCAGGCCAAGCACUCACCUGUCCAGUCAACCCUGUCCUCUCGCGCUCCGUAGUUUACUCCGUUCAGGUCCCAACUACGUGGCGCCCCCAGCCACCCCUAUUAGACGUCUUGAAAGCGUCGCACACACAUCCCGACAACCCCGAGAACAGGUGGCAGGCGACAGGGAGGAACACAGAGUAAGGAAAGGCGAAUUGGAUCUGGAUGCCUUAGCGGGCAAGAUUAGGUGGCUAGGAAAGAGUCGAGGAGAUGGAGAUGCAGCGCCUACAUAGUCACCCCAAGCAUGCAAUGGAAGAGUAGUUCCUCCACUUCCUACACCCCUUCCGCUUCCUCACCAGCUUCAAAGCCUUACCUCGAAGUACGCAGCGAGCCGUCAUAACCUGGUCGAACAACUCGUUGAUAGAAUUCACUCCCACUUCUCGGCAGCCAACCUCGCCAUCCUUCUCCAAAUCCCCAAGAGAGAAACUGUCCCCGCAUUUAACCAUCCCCAACUGAUAGCUUCACGCCUU
rnacentral:sRNA from 1 species